rnacentral:rRNA from 1 species
AGCGUUGCUCGGAAUCACUGGGCGUAAAGCGCACGUAGGCGGCUUUUUAAGUCAGGGGUGAAAUCCUGGAGCUCAACUCCAGAACUGCCUUUGAUACUGAGAGGCUUGAGUCCGGGAGAGGUGAGUGGAACUGCGAGUGUAG